rnacentral:rRNA from 1 species
AACGAACGCUGGCGGCAUGCCUAACACAUGCGAGUCGAACGAGACCUUCGGGUCUAGUGGCGCACGGGUGCGUAACGCGUGGGAACCUGCCCUUAGGUUCGGAAUAACUCCCCGAAAGGGGUGCUAAUACCGGAUAAUGUCUUCGGACCAAAGAGUUAUCGCCUUUGGAUGGGCCCGCGUUGGAUUAGCUAGUUGGUAGGGUAAAAGCCUACCAAGGCGACGAUCCAUAGCUGGUCUGAGAGGAUGAUCAGCCACAAUGGGACUGAGACACGGCCCAGACUCCUACGGGAGGCAGCAGUGGGGAAUAUUGUACAAUGGGCGAAAGCCUGAUCCAGCAAUGCCGCGUGAGUGAUGAAGGCCUUAGGGUUGUAAAGCUCUUUUACCCGGGAUGAUAAUGACAGUACCGGGAGAAUAAGCUCCGGCUAACUCCGUG